rnacentral:lncRNA from 1 species
ACAAAAGAAGUUAACAGCCCUAAAGAUUUCUACUAAUCUUCUGAAAAUUUCCCUCGAGAAGGAUUGCAUCAUUCCAUAAUCGAACACAAAAACUUUUAGUUAACAAAUCAGUACUAAACCAAAUCAGUGAGAAUAAGAACACAAAUGCAGAACCAAGAUCAACCAAUAACCUCAACUCCAAACACUUAAUCAAACUGAAAUGAUUCUAAAGUUUAAGCAAUCAAUCUCACCCCUGCUUCAACAUGAAACCAAUAGUCGAAUCACAUACUUUAAACAUCAAAUGGCUAGGCAUAUGUAGAGGAGAAAAAACGACAGGGGAACAACACAUGAAUUCUUAUAACCCGCCCUAAGUCAGAUUUUUAAAUUUUUAACAUAAGAACACCUCGGAGUUUCCUUUGAACAGCUAACAACCACGAACAGAAGCAUCGAGUAAGAGAAGACAAAAAUCAGAAUCAACAUGGUUUGAUAUAAGGAAUUCUCUUGCCAUUUAAGCUCGGUCGAUUAGAAAACAAACCAAUUUUGACAACCUAUGAUAAAGAAAACAAGCAGAGUGAACCUUCAAACCAUCUGGAAACCAACCCUUCACGUUUAUACACAGAAAAGAAAUCAAUUAUGGCCAGGUACUGAAAAAAGAGGUGGAUGAACACAUAGUUACACGAUUCGAGGGAUUCUGGAACUAAAAGACCAUAUGAACAUUAACAAGCACACAUACGAAAUCAUAGAGAAAAAAAACUAAAAUCUCAAUUACUACUUCAAACUUCAGCCCAUUGUAUAGUUUAUUCAGAGAUAGACUUACAACGGGAACUAAAGCGAAGAAGAGAAAUGAACCUGGAAUCAAGAAACUGAACUAACCCACACUGAAACUAAUCAAAGAAAAGCAAAUAGCAGCAGAACACCAGCUUUCGAGCCACAGCAGCCUCAAAUUUCUCAAGUGACUUCUUAGUGAUUUUCGUGUUGUUCUAUUAUCAGAAAUCAAAGAAUCAAUAAAACUGAAAAAGGAAAAGAAAGCAUCUCUCAAAAUCCUUUCCGAAAAAAAUCUCUCCAAAGUUAUAUGUCCCUUCUCCUCUAAUUUUUUCGAACCCCCCCCCCCCCCCCCCCCCCUCCUUUCCGAAAAAAAUCUCUCCAAAGUUAUAUGUCCCUUCUCCUCUAAUUUUUUCGAACCCCCCCCCCCCCUCUCCCACCAGAAAUCAAGCUUGGGUGUAUAUAUACCCUCUCUCAAAAUUUUUCCUUUUUGCCCAAGAAAUCUUGAAGUAAAUCUCUUCUAGAUUGAACCCUGACAGAUGGAAGGAGGGGAUUGAUCCUCAAAUCAAUCCGCGGCUCCCAUUUUCGGAGUUUAUUCUUCAGAAAAUCCAAAGCAAACCCAGUGCAUGAGAGAUGCAAGAAAAUGUCAGAAGCCGUUAGAAUCUUGCUGAGGUGGUGAGAUAAGGUGCGCGUGAGGUAAAAUUGAGCUCACCCGCCUGAAAUUUGUGAGUUUAGGCACGGCUAAAAUGGAGAAUAAAAUGGACAGGAGCUUCUGAGUUUGGGGACUUUACG